GACGAACGCUGGCGGCGUGCUUAACACAUGCAAGUCGAACGGAAAGGCCCUGCUUUUGUGGGGUGCUUGAGUGGCGAACGGGUGAGUAACAUGUGAGUCACCUGCCCUUUACUUUGGGAUAACUUCAGGCAACUGGUGCUAAUACCGGCUAGGAGCUCCUGCUGCAUGGUGGUGUUUGGACAUUUUCGGCGGUUGGGGAUGGACUCGCGGCUUAUCAGCUUGUUGGUGGGGUAGUGGCUUACCAAGGCUUUGACGGGUAGCCGGCCUGAGAGGGUGACCGGCCACAUUGGGACUGAGAGACGGCCCAGACUCCUACGGGAGGCAGCAGGGGGGAAUAUUGCACAAUGGGCGGAAGUCUGAUGCAGCAACGCCGCGUGCGGGAUGAAGGCCUUCGGGUUGUAAACCGCUUUCGCCUGUGACGAAGCGUGAGUGACGGUAAUGGGUAAAGAAGCACCGGCUAACUACGUG
rnacentral:rRNA from 1 species